GUGCCAGCAGCCGCGGUAAAACGUAGGAGACAAACGUUAUCCGGAGUUACUGGGCGUAAAGGGCGUGUAGGCGGUCUGUUAAGUCUGGCGUGAAAGCUCUCGGCUAAACCGGGAGAGGUCGUUGGAUACUGGCAGACUAGAGGACGGUAGAGGCGUGUGGAAUUCCGGGUGUAGUGGUGAAAUGCGUAGAGAUCCGGAGGAACACCAGUGGCGAAGGCGACACGCUGGGCCGUACCUGACGCUAAAGCGCGACAGCAUGGGGAGCGAACGGGAUUAGAUACCCGCGUAGUCC
rnacentral:rRNA from 1 species